rnacentral:rRNA from 1 species
CCUACGGGGGGCAGCAGUAGGGAAUGUUCGUCAAUGGGCGCAAGCCUGAACGAGCAAUGCCGCGUGAACGAGGAAGGUCUUCGGAACGUAAAGGUCUGUUGAAGGGGAAAAAGAGCGGAGAGAGGAAAUGCUUUCUGAUGGAUAUUACCCGUCGAGGAAGGCACGGCUAACUACGUGCCAGCAGCCGCGGUAAUACGUAGGUGGCGAGCGUGAGCCGGAAUGAUUGGGCGUAAAGGGUGCGUAGGCGGCCUGCUAAGUCUGGCGUGAAAGGGACCGGCUCAACCGGUACAGGCUCUUGAAACUGGCGGGCUAGAGAGCAGGAUAGGGCGGUGGAACUCCAUGUGUAGCGGUCAAAUGCGUUGCUCUCUGG